AAAACAGAUCCUGUCUGAGGGGUGUUCACUAACCAGCAUAUUCUAUUAAACUAAAUGCUGAGCAAAACAGCAAGGCCGAAUGUAGUCGAGCUAGAAUUUUUUUUCCAAAUCAGCUAUUUGAGUAUAAAUUGUACCAUCCAGUUUUUAAUUUGCUGCAAUUUGGUGUUUAGUGAAGAAACCUCAGAGUCUAAUUCAUCCUGUCUGGUUUAG